UGAUCCCAUCAGAACUCCGAAGUUAAGCGUGCUUGGGCGAGAGUAGUACUAGGAUGGGUGACCUCCUGGGAAGUCCUCGUGUUGCAUCC
rnacentral:rRNA from 3 species